CUCGGAGAGGAAAGAUGCUAAAAUCUCCGGCAAAGAAGUCCAAUCGAGGUUGGACCUUUGGUGGGGAAAAUAGGGAGGGUGGGGAGGAGCUUAAAUAAAGCUCUGCCACGACCAGUCUGACCCACAAUCAGAUUCUGUUCAACCAUCUCACGAAGGAAGAAGACUCCCAUCGGGAUUCUUCCUCUCCAGGCACCUGUGCGGCACAUGCCAGUUUUUUUUCCUUUCUUGUUGGGCUAAGGUGAUUGGGCUAGUCAAGUAGACCGAGCUCAGUCCAGGGUCUCACAUUUCUCCCCUCCU
rnacentral:lncRNA from 1 species